GAUGAACGCUAGCGGCAGGCCUAAUACAUGCAAGUCGAACGGUGUCUUCGGACAUAGUGGCGCACGGGUGCGUAACACGUAUGCAACCUACCUUACAUUGGGGGAUAGCCUUUCGAAAGGGAGAUUAAUACCGCAUAGACAGUAACUAGGCAUCUAGUAGCUGUUAAAGAUUUAUCGAUGUAAGCUGGGCAUGCGUCCAAUUAGCUAGUUGGUGAGGUAACGGCUCACCAAGGCAAUGAUUGGUAGGGGAACUGAGAGGUCAAUCCCCCACACUGGCACUGAGAGACGGGCCAGACUCCUACGGGAGGCAGCAGUAGGGAAUAUUGGGCAAUGGACGCAAGUCUGACCCAGCCAUGCCGCGUGCAGGAUGAAGGCGUUAUGCGUUGUAAACUGCUUUUAUACAGGAAGAAACGACUCUUGCGAGAGGCAUUGACGGUACUGUAUGAAUAAGCACCAGCUAACUCCGUGCCAGCAGCAGCCGCCGUAA
rnacentral:rRNA from 1 species